GAUGAAGAACGUAGCGAAAUGCGAUACUUGGUGUGAAUUGCAGAAUCCCGUGAACCAUCGAGUCUUUGAACGCAAGUUGCGCCCGAAGCCAUUAGGCCGAGGGCACGCCUGCCUGGGCGUCACACGUCGUUGCCCCCCCAUCUAAUCCUUCGGGAUUGCGGGGGGCGGAUGAUGGCCUCCCGUGCGCCUCGUCGCGCGGUUGGCAUAAAUGCAAAGUCCUCGGCGACGCACGCCACGACAAUCGGUGGUUGCGAAACCUCGGUUGCCCGUCGUGUGCGGUCGUCGCGCAUCGAGGGCUCGAAAAAAUUGCCGGGCUCCGGCUCGACUUUCAACGCGACCCCAGGUCAGGCGGGGUUACCCGCUGAAUUUAAGCAUAUCAAUAAGCGGAGGA
rnacentral:misc_RNA from 1 species